rnacentral:rRNA from 1 species
CCUACGGGCGGCAGCAGUGAGGAAUCUUGGUAAAUGGACGCAAGUCUGAACCAGCCAUGCCGCGUGCAGGAAGACGGCUCUAUGCGUUGUAAACUGCUUUUGUACGAGGGUACACGCAGAUACGCGUAUCUGUCUGAAAGUAUCGUACGAAUAAGGAUCGGCUAACCCCGUUCCAGACGCCGCGGUAAUACGGAGGAUUCAAGCAUUAUCCGGAUUUAUUGGGUGUAAAGGGUGCGUCAGCGGUCGGAUAAGUUAGAUGUGAACUCACGAGGCUCAACUGCGGAAUUGGCUCUGAUACUGUUCGGCUAGAGAGUAGUUGCGGUAGGCGGAAUGUAAGGUGUAGCGGUGAAAUGCUUAGAGAUCAUACAGAACACCGAUUGCGAAGGCAGCUUACCAAGCUACUUCUGACGUUGAGGCACGAAAGCGUGGGGAGCAAACAGGAUUAGAUACCCGGGUAGUC